UCCGUUGUGGUCUAGUGGCUAGGAUUUGCCGCUCUCAGUAAAAGAGCAUUGCUUAACGCAGUUACCGGCAAGGCCGGGGUUCGAUUCCCCGCAACGGAA